rnacentral:tRNA from 1 species
GUUGUCGUGGCCGAGUGGUUAAGGCAAUGUAAUAUAAAUGUUUUCGGAUCUUCCCGCGCAGGUUCGUUUCCUGCCGACAUCG